AGCGAACGCUGGCGGCAGGCCUAACACAUGCAAGUCGAACGAAGUCUUCGGACUUAGUGGCGGACGGGUGAGUAACACGUGGGAACGUGCCUUUAGGUUCGGAAUAACUCAGGGAAACCUGUGCUAAUACCGAAUGUGCCCUUCGGGGGAAAGAUUUAUCGCCUUUAGAGCGGCCCGCGUCUGAUUAGCUAGUUGGUGAGGUAAAGGCUCACCAAGGCGACGAUCAGUAGCUGGUCUGAGAGGAUGAUCAGCCACAUUGGGACUGAGACACGGCCCAGACUCCUACGGGAGGCAGCAGUGGGGAAUCUUGCGCAAUGGGCGAAAGCCUGACGCAGCCAUGCCGCGUGAAUGAUGAAGGUCUUAGGAUUGUAAAAUUCUUUCACCGGGGACGACAAUGACGGUACCCGGAGAAGAAGCCCCGGCUAGCUUCGUGCCAGCCGCCGCCGUAAAAC
rnacentral:rRNA from 1 species